AGNAUGCGCGNCUAUCAUGCAAGUCGAGCGAAUGGAUUAAGAGCUUGCUCUUAUGAAGUUAGCGGCGGACGGGUGAGUAACACGUGGGUAACCUGCCCAUAAGACUGGGAUAACUCCGGGAAACCGGGGCUAAUACCGGAUAACAUUUUGAACCGCAUGGUUCGAAAUUGAAAGGCGGCUUCGGCUGUCACUUAUGGAUGGACCCGCGUCGCAUUAGCUAGUUGGUGAGGUAACGGCUCACCAAGGCAACGAUGCGUAGCCNACCUGAGAGGGUGAUCGGCCACACUGGGACUGAGACACGGCCCAGACUCCUACGGGAGGCAGCAGUAGGGAAUCUUCCGCAAUGGACGAAAGUCUGACGGAGCAACGCCNCGUGAGUGAUGAAGGCUUUCGGGUCGUAAAACUCUGUUGUUAGGGAAGAACAAGUGCUAGUUGAAUAAGCUGGCACCUUGACGGUACCUAACCAGAAAGCCACGGCUAACUACNUGCCAGCAGCCGCGGUAAUACGUAGGUGGCAAGCGUUAUCCGGAAUUAUUGGGCGUAAAGCGCGCGCAGGUGGUUUCUUAANUCUGAUGUGAAAGCCCACGGCUCAACCGUGGAGGGUCAUUGGAAACUGGGANACUUGANUGCANAANANGAAANUGGAAUUCCNUGUNUANCNGUGAAAUGCNUANANAUNUGGAGGAACACC
rnacentral:rRNA from 1 species